GAUGAACGCUGGCGGCGUGCCUAAUACAUGCAAGUAGAACGCUGAAGCUUGGUGCUUACACCGAGCGGAUGAGUUGCGAACGGGUGAGUAACGCGUAGGUAACCUGCCUCUUAGCGGGGGAUAACUAUUGGAAACGAUAGCUAAUACCGCAUAAAAGUCGAUAUCGCAUGAUAUUGAUUUGAAAGGUGCAAAUGCAUCACUAAGAGAUGGACCUGCGUUGUAUUAGCUAGUUGGUGAGGUAACGGCUCACCAAGGCGACGAUACAUAGCCGACCUGAGAGGGUGAUCGGCCACACUGGGACUGAGACACGGCCCAGACUCCUACGGGAGGCAGCAGUAGGGAAUCUUCGGCAAUGGGGGCAACCCUGACCGAGCAACGCCGCGUGAGUGAAGAAGGUUUUCGGAUCGUAAAGCUCUGUUGUAAGAGAAGAACGAGUGUGAGAGUGGAAAGUUCACACUGUGACGGUAACUUACCAGAAAGGGACGGCUAACUACGUG
rnacentral:rRNA from 1 species